rnacentral:misc_RNA from 1 species
UUAAUUCUAGGUUUAAUUCAGACACAGACGAUAUAUUGCAUAAAUACGACGCCAAAGCGCCGAAGCACAUGUUGCUUCCACAGGUUUGCAAGGUUGAAGGCCCAGAGGCCAUUCAUUAAUGAUCCCUCCGCAGGUUCACCUACGGAGA